rnacentral:rRNA from 1 species
AGUGAACGCUGGCGGUAGGCCUAACACAUGCAAGUCGAACGGCAGCACAGUAAGAGCUUGCUCUUACGGGUGGCGAGUGGCGGACGGGUGAGGAAUACAUCGGAAUCUACUUUUUCGUGGGGGAUAACGUAGGGAAACUUACGCUAAUACCGCAUACGACCUACGGGUGAAAGCAGGAGAUCUUCGGACCUUGCGCGAUUGAAUGAGCCGAUGUCGGAUUAGCUAGUUGGCGGGGUAAAGGCCCACCAAGGCGACGAUCCGUAGCUGGUCUGAGAGGAUGAUCAGUCACACUGGAACUGAGACACGGUCCAGACUCCUACGGGAGGCAGCAGUGGGGAAUAUUGGACAAUGGGCGCAAGCCUGAUCCAGCCAUACCGCGUGGGUGAAGAAGGCCUUCGGGUUGUAAAGCCCUUUUGUUGGGAAAGAAAAGCAGCAGGUUAAUACCCCGCUGUUCUGACGGUACCCAAAGAAUAAGCACCGGCUAACUUCGUG